rnacentral:misc_RNA from 1 species
UGAAGGUCUGAAUGUAUGUAUCUCUUCGCUGCUGCCAAAGAUGUCUUUAUAAUAAAAAAUCUAAUCCCAAAGAUAAGAAUCAAACUUGAAAAAUUUUUGAAAUUCAAAAAAGACAUAUUCUUUGCUCUGCAAUCAUAGCCAAUUUUCAGCCUCUUCCCUUAUGAUUCUGUCUCUGACUUCUUCAGAAAAGUUGUAGCUCUACUUCUUA